GGGGGUGACUGGUUUCGACAGGGAUCAAGUAGACUGGAUAAGCAUGUCGGUGAGAUUACCUAUCCCGUCAUAGAAUGGUGAUGCUAAAAAUUCAAGUGCAGAUGAAAAUCUUGCAUUAGCUGCUUAAUUAACAAGUAGCUCAUUUGUUUAGUUGUUUCCAUUUGCAACUCUACAAAUGCCGUUUAAAAUGGAUAUGAUUCUGUGAUAUCUAUAAGCAGAAUUGAAUUUUCAUAGGUUAUACCAGGAAGAGCUUGUUUGUUAUGCUAUUCUGGAAGAAAAAAAACUAAUAGACUAAACAUGUAGAAAUUCCUUUAGACGGAUCCCUGGACGCGGGUUCGACUCCCGCCACCUCCAUUU
rnacentral:tmRNA from 1 species